rnacentral:snoRNA from 1 species
AAAGCAUCUUAAACAGGUCGUGGCCUCUGAGCAGUAGGCCAGGAUUUGGUAGCUGGUGCUAACAUCAAUUCUCUCUCGCAACUCUCCUGCUAGCAACUGGUUUCUUUCUGGGACUUUACUGGGAGAGAAACAAAC